GAUGAACGCUGGCGGCGUGCCUAAUACAUGCAAGUCGAGCGAACGGACGAGGAGCUUGCUUCUUUGAUGUUAGCGGCGGAGGGGUGUGUCACACGUGGAUACCCUCCCUAUAUGUCUGGGAUAAUUUCGGGAAACCGUAGCUAAUCCCGUAUAAUCUUUUGCUCCGCAUGGUUCAAUAGUGAAAGACGGCCUUGCUGUCACUUAUAGCUGGUUCCGCGCUGCAUUAGCUAGUUGGUAAGGUAACGGCUUAUCAAGGCAACGAUGCCUAGCCGACCUGCGAGGGUGAUCGGCCGCACUGGAACGUAGACGCGGUCAAGACUCCUACGAGAGGCAGCAGUAUGGUAUCGGCCGCAAUAGGCGAGAGCCUGACGGAGCAGCGCCGCGUGAGUGAUAAAGGUCUUCGGAUCGUAAAACUCUGUUAUUAGGGAUGAACAGAUGUGGAAGGAACUGUACACAUCGUGACGGUACCUAAUCAGAAAGCCACGGCUAACUACGUG
rnacentral:rRNA from 1 species